rnacentral:rRNA from 1 species
GACGAACGCUGGCGGCGUGCUUGACACAUGCAAGUCGAACGGAAAGGCCUGCUUUCCCUUGUGGAUUGCGGGUACUCGAGUGGCGAACGGGUGAGUAACACGUGAGUGAUCUGCCCCCAACUUGGGUAUAAGCCUGGGAAACUGGGUCUAAUUCCCGAUAGGACUGCAGGGUGGUGCCUGUGGUGGAAAACGAUUUUCUAGUGGUUGGGGAUGAGCUCGCGGCCUAUCAGCUUGUUGGUGGGGUAAUGGCCUACCAAGGCGGCGACGGGUAGCCGGCCUGGGAGGGGGGACGGCAAAAUUGGAACGGAGAAACGGCCAAAACUCCUACGGGAGGCAGCAGUGGGGAAUACGGCACAAUGGGGGGAAGCCUGAUGAAGCGACGCCGCGUGGGGGAUGACGGCCUUCGGGUUGUAAACUCCUUUCGACCGCGAGGAAGCCACCUGGUUGGAAGGGUGGUGACGGUAGUGGUAGAAGAAGCACCGGCUAACUACGUG